rnacentral:pre_miRNA from 1 species
UAUAUACUCCCUCCGUUCGGAAUUACUUGUCGCAGAAAUGGAUGUAUCUAGACGUAUUUUAGUUCUAGAUACAUUUAUUUUCAAGACAAGUAAUUCCGAAUGGAGGGAGUAGUUG